UCAUACUGAAAAUGGCUUCAGAUCUAAUAGUGGUGUGAGGUCAGAUAAAUGAGCCUAAAGCAUUGUUGUACGCUAAGCUUAUUGCCUGCUCCUCGAUUGGCGGAGCGAUAAAACCCGUGUGCAAACAUUU
rnacentral:snoRNA from 1 species